rnacentral:rRNA from 1 species
UACGUAGGUGGCGAGCGUUGUCCGGAUUUACUGGGCGUAAAGGGCGUGCAGGCGGUUUGUUAAGUGCAGAGUGAAAGCUCCCGGCUCAACUGGGAGAGGUCUUUGCAUACUGGCAAACUCGAGGGAGGCAGAGGAAAGUGGAAUUCCCGGUGUAGUGGUGAUAUGCGUAGAUAUGCGGAGGAACACCGGUGGCGAAGGCGGCCAUCUGGACGAGUACUGACGCUGAGACGCGAAAAGCGUGGGGAGCAAACAGG